rnacentral:rRNA from 1 species
GUCCGUGAUUAUACAGAUGUGGAAACGCCUUGCUCCAUCCCGAACCAAGAAGCUAAGCACAUCGUGGGUGAUGAUACUACGCCUUA